AGAGUUUGAUUAUGGCUCAGGAUGAACGCUGGCGGCGUGCCUAACACAUGCAAGUCGAACGGGGUUAUUUAGGAAAUUUCCUUCGGGGAAUGGAAUCUUUAACCUAGUGGCGGACGGGUGAGUAACGCGUGAGCAAUCUGCCUUCGGAUGGGGGAUAACAGCCGGAAACGGCUGCUAAUACCGCAUAACACAUGGGAUCCGCAUGUUUCCCAUGUCAAAGAUUUAUCGUCCGGAGAUGAGCUCGCGUCUGAUUAGCUGGUUGGCGGGGUAACGGCCCACCAAGGCGACGAUCAGUAGCCGGACUGAGAGGUUGAACGGCCACAUUGGGACUGAGACACGGCCCAGACUCCUACGGGAGGCAGCAGUGGGGAAUAUUGCGCAAUGGGGGCAACCCUGACGCAGCAACGCCGCGUGAUUGAAGAAGGCCUUCGGGUUGUAAAGAUCUUUAAUCGGGGACGAAUUUUGACGGUACCCGAAGAAUAAGCUCCGGCUAACUACGUGCCAGCAGCCGCGGUAAUACGUAGGGAGCAAGCGUUAUCCGGAUUUACUGGGUGUAAAGGGCGUGUANGCGGGCAUGCAAGCCAAAAGUGAAAUCUGGGGGCUUAACCCCCAAACUGCUUUUGGAACUGCGUGUCUUGAGUGAUGG
rnacentral:rRNA from 1 species